rnacentral:tRNA from 2 species
AAAUGAAAGAAAAAGGGGAAGGACAUCAUAAUGAGAUAAAAUCCGUCGACUUUAAAAAUCGUGAGGGUUCAAGUCCCUCUAUCCCCA